CGAGUCAUCCUUUAUGCAGGAAUGAGGAAAGGUAGCUCCUGGGAGCAAGGAGGCAGAGCUUGACUGGAGGAGGGUGAGAAGCAAUGUGUGCUUACCCUCCGCGGCUGCAGAUACCAGGGCCACACACUCGCUUAGUGUGCAAGGAGCUGUUUCUGCCCUGACCCCACAGCGUUCUCACAAACGGACACUCUACGGCAAGGUCAGGGCUGCACAGCAGACGGGCCACGAUGUGCAUCGCAGAAGAGCCGAGCUCAUCUGCCAAUCAUGGGGCCAGGGACCAUGGCUGUCUUGCUGAUUGCUGGACUCCAGCGGGCUUCACGGUAGAACAGCAAGGCCCGGGAACACACAGGACCUGCUUAAGCAUGAAAAGCAGAGGUCUCCUUUCAAGUUGUUACUGACCCCCAACUCUUUCCAGGAUAUUAGUCCAUCCUUUUGUGCUCUCUCUUCAUGAGGUCAUACUGCUACUUGGGGUUGUACCCCAAGAUUGCCAUUGUUUCCUGGGUCUCGCUUGCUCCAGUUUGAUUGACAAGCUCUGUUGGCUCUCCCUGUGCGGCUUUUCACUUGGAUUCCUCCUGGUGACUUCCAGUGCUGCCACCUCUGCGGCCCUCAGCUUACUCACCUGGAUGCAGGCACUCUCCUACCAUCCUCCCUGCCUCUAGUAUCCCCCUCAUCAUCACCUCCUCUCACCCAGAGACCCUGGACUGCCUUCUUCAUCAUCGUCUGGAAGCAGAGCUCCCCCAGCUCCUCGCCAGCCUGCUUGAAAACUUUCCACGUCUUUGUUGGCUGGAAAUGUUAACGAUUUUUCGAAUGGAAUCAGAGCGUCUUUUGUUCCAGAGUUUUCUCAUUGUUUUCUUUCCAUGGGAUUGUAGAAAACAUCUCCCGCCAGGCACACCCUACUGUUUUUGUGGAAAUUAUAGGCUGCAAAUAACUGCUUAAGUCAACUGCCAGACGAGGUACUCGCUUCAGAGGGAAAAUUCCAGCUGUUGAACAAGUUUCUGGGCUUUAUUUUUGGAGCAAAGAGUUCAUCAAGUGAAGAACAGAAUUUUCCAGGUGCCUCACCUCCAUUCUUAUCACAAGCAUGAGCAUGCCCCUGAGUGGGAUACUUCUUUCAAGCUCCAAUUUAUAACCCCAAUGCUUAUGCAUCCCCUUUUUCUGUUGAUUUAGAUAAAACACUUUGGGGGGCACAGAG